UGUAACAUCCCAAAAAUUUCAAACCUUUACAUGUGCAUUACAUCCAUAAGCAUCAUGCCACAAUUGCAUAUUUGAAUUCAAAUUUGAAUCUCAAAAGGCUUGAAAAGAUUUUAUUUCCAUUUAAACCCUAGUGUUUACACCCAUUUGACCUUUGGAUCUUCAAACCAAUAGGGUUUUUUAUUAAAGGGGUUUAUUGCAUAAAUAAGUUAUCCCAUAAUUUUUGGAUAAUUAUUUGGAGUUGAAAAACUAUUUUAUUUAAAUAGUUAUAUAGCCCUAAAGGCAUUUAUAGGGAAAUGUAUUUUUAGAUAUUUUAUUUUGAAGGGAAAUAACCCCCAAAAGUUGAAUCAUGAUAAAACAUGAUUUUACAGAUUUUUUGGAAUUUAUUUGGGCCAAUUUGGAGUUCAAAAUCAAAAGUUAGAAAAGAUUUACAGAAAAAGAAAAGGAGAAAAGGCUAAAAGGAAAAAAAAGAGGAAAACGGACCGACCCGGCCGAAUUGGCUGAACCGGCCCAAUCCCUCGCGCACGCCGCAGCCCAGCCC
rnacentral:lncRNA from 1 species